GUCGCUGGUGCUCUCGGUUUCGUGGUCGCCGCCGGCCGCCUCUCCCUCGCGGUGUGGCGGCGACACCGCUUCCCUGGGGCCGGGGCAGCUUCCCCGGUGCCUCAGCUCCAACAUCUUCCGCUCCCGCGCUGCCGUGGCGGCCUCCUCAAGCACCCCGAAACCUGAGCUGCAAGCAGGGUUCUGCAGGCGGGGCGCCCCGCCACCUCGCAGCCGCGCCCUGGAGUCCCGCGGAGCCGCAGCCACUAACGCGGCCCCACCAUAGAGCGGCCGCCGCGCCGGUCACCUCCAAAACGGCAUCAACGAGAGAGCGCUCGAGGCCGCCUGCAGCGAGCGCGGCUCCGGCGGAGGUCCCGGGCAGGCUCCGGGCGCCAGGCGCGAGCAGAGAAGGCGGAGACGCGGCCUCCGGUUGCCAGGUGCGCGUCUCCACGCAGAGGCCCAGCCUCUACAGGUAUUAUCAAAGAGAAGAUGAGAACCUUGAACUGAGAGGACCUCACAAGCCUGUAGUGAAGGAAGACCCUGUUGCCAAGAUGAGGUGCAGACGGUGGAGUUAAUCAUUCUCCUCAGUUCCUACUUGGUGAAUGUUUCAUGCAUCCGUGUGAAGAGAGUCCACCAAACAGGCUUUGUGUCUUUACCUCUCAACUGAACCCUGAACUCCUGGAGAAUAGAUGCUGUCGGGAAAUCACCAGCUUCUCACAAAGCAAUGAUCGUUGAAUAAAUCCUUGUUAAAUAAUGACAGUUUUCCUUUUUGGAUUGCUGUGAUCUCUACUCCCAUCACGACUGCUAAGCCUUGGGCAGGAGACCUUGUAUUCCCAGCCAGCUAUUCUUCCCACCGCCAUCCGUGAGUAUUGGAUGAAAGUAGCCAGGGCCGGGAAGAAACAUGGGGAUAGUAGUGUCUGAAAAC
rnacentral:lncRNA from 10 species